GACGGAGGGUGCAAGCGUUGCUCGGAAUCACUGGGCGUAAAGGGCGCGUAGGCGGUCAGCACAAGUCAGUUGUGAAAUCUCCGGGCUUAACUCGGAAAGGUCAACUGAUACUGUGCGACUAGAGUGCGGAAGGGGCAACUGGAAUUCUCGGUGUAGCGGUGAAAUGCGUAGAUAUCGAGAGGAACACCUGCGGCGAAGGCGGGUUGCUAGGCCGACACUGACGCUGAUGCGCGAAAGCCAGGGGAGCGAACGGG
rnacentral:rRNA from 1 species